UGCAGUCGAACGGCAGCACGGACUUCGGUCUGGUGGCGAGUGGCGAACGGGUGAGUAAUGUAUCGGAACGUGCCCAGUAGCGGGGGAUAACUACGCGAAAGCGUAGCUAAUACCGCAUACGCCCUACGGGGGAAAGCAGGGGAUCGCAAGACCUUGCACUAUUGGAGCGGCCGAUAUCGGAUUAGCUAGUUGGUGGGGUAACGGCUCACCAAGGCGACGAUCCGUAGCUGGUUUGAGAGGACGACCAGCCACACUGGGACUGAGACACGGCCCAAACUCCUACGGGAGGCAGCAGUGGGGAAUUUUGGACAAUGGGGGAAACCCUGAUCCAGCCAUCCCGCGUGUGCGAUGAAGGCCUUCGGGUUGUAAAGCACUUUUGGCAGGAAAGAAACGUCGCGGGUUAAUACCCCGCGAAACUGACGGUACCUGCAGAAUAAGCACCGGCUAACUACGUGCCAGCAGCCGCGGUAAUACGUAGGGUGCAAGCGUUAAUCGGAAUUACUGGGCGUAAAGCGUGCGCAGGCGGUUCGGAAAGAAAGAUGUGAAAUCCCAGAGCUUAACUUUGGAACUGCAUUUUUAACUACCGGGCUAGAGUGUGUCAGAGGGAGGUGGAAUUCCGCGUGUAGCAGUGAAAUGCGUAGAUAUGCGGAGGAACACCGAUGGCGAAGGCAGCCUCCUGGGAUAACACUGACGCUCAUGCACGAAAGCGUGGGGAGCAAACAGGAUUAGAUACCCUGGUAGUCCACGCCCUAAACGAUGUCAACUAUCUGUUGGGGCCUUCGGGCCUUGGUAGCGCAGCUAACGC
rnacentral:rRNA from 1 species